rnacentral:rRNA from 3 species
AAACCAACAGGGAUUGCCCCAGUAACGGCGAGUGAAGCGGCAACAGCUCAAAUUUGAAAUCUGGUCCCCAGGGCCCGAGUUGUAAUUUGUAGAGGAUGCUUUUGGCGCGGUGCCUUCCGAGUUCCCUGGAACGGGACGCCAUAGAGGGUGAGAGCCCCGUCUGGUCGGAUACCUAGCCUCUGUAAAGCUCCUUCGACGAGUCGAGUAGUUUGGGAAUGCUGCUCAAAAUGGGAGGUAUAUGUCUUCUAAAGCUAAAUAUUGGCCAGAGACCGAUAGCGCACAAGUAGAGUGAUCGAAAGAUGAAAAGCACUUUGAAAAGAGGGUUAAAAAGUACGUGAAAUUGUUGAAAGGGAAGCGCCUAUGACCAGACUUGGGCCCGGUGAAUCAUCCAGCGUUCUCGCUGGUGCACUUUGCCGGGCACAGGCCAGCAUCAGUUUGGCGCGGGGGAUAAAGGCUUUGGGAAUGUGGCUCCCUCGGGAGUGUUAUAGCCCAUUGUGUAAUACCCUGCGCCGGACUGAGGUACGCGCAUUGCAAGGAUGCUGGCGUAAUGGUCAUCAGCGAC